AUUGAACGCUGGCGGCAUGCCUUACACAUGCAAGUCGAACGGCAGCACGGGUGCUUGCACCUGGUGGCGAGUGGCGAACGGGUGAGUAAUACAUCGGAACGUACCUUAUCGUGGGGGAUAACGCAGCGAAAGCUGUGCUAAUACCGCAUACGCCCUGAGGGGGAAAGCGGGGGAUCGCAAGACCUCGCGCGAUUAGAGCGGCCGAUGCCUGAUUAGCUUGUUGGUGGGGUAAAAGCCCACCAAGGCGACGAUCAGUAGCUGGUCUGAGAGGACGAUCAGCCGCACUGGGACUGAGACACGGCGCAGACUCCUACGGGAGGCAGCAGUGGGGAAUUUUGGACAAUGGGGGCAACCCUGAUCCAGCAAUGCCGCGUGAGUGAAGAAGGCCUUCGGGUUGUAAAGCUCUUUUGUCAGGGAAGAAACACCGGCUCUAACACAGUCCGGGAAUGACGGUACCUGAAGAAUAAGCACCGGCUAACUACGUGCCAGCAGCCGCCGCGG
rnacentral:rRNA from 1 species